CAAUAGCGUAUAUCUAAGUUGUUGCAGUUAAAAAGCUCGUAGUUGGAUUUUGGGUCGGGGGCACCGGUCCGCCGUUCCGGUGUGCACUGGUGGCCCCUUCCUUUCUGCCGGGGACGUGCGUCGCACUUAAUUGGGUGGCGUUCGGAGUCGGCGUUGUUACUUUGAAAAAAUUAGAGUGUUCAAAGCAAGCCAUCGCUCUGAAUACAUUAGCAUGGAAUAACAUGAUAGGACUCUGGUCUUAUUUUGUUGGUUUCCGAGACUGGAGUAAUGAUUAAGAGGGACAGUCGGGGGCAUCCGUAUUUCAUUGUCAGAGGUGAAAUUCUUGGAUUUAUGAAAGACGAACUUCUGCGAAAGCAUUUGCCAAGGAUGGUUUCAUUAA
rnacentral:rRNA from 1 species